GCCACCCUACAUAUGGGGCAUAUGAUAAAAAUGAAACUAUACAAAGAAGGUUAACAUGACUCUAUGCAAGGAUGACACCACAAAUCAAGAAAUAGUAGGAAUCUUG